CUUCCGAUCUCUUCCUUCAAUUUUGUCCCUUAAAAUAACUACUAAAUUUUAAGUAUGACUAAGUAGGGAAGCAUAGUCCAAGGGGUAGCAAAGAAUCAGACAGGACUGAGACUGAACCGGAUAGUUUAUUUAGCUGCUAAUAGCAACUACAGGUAGGGUUUCACCUUGUCUGGAAGUCCUUGCAGAGUGCACAGUUUUCUGCUACAUUUUGGCCACAGCUGAUUUGGACGUCAAAUUUGACUCCACUAAAUGUCCAUAUCUAAUUUAACGGAUAUUUAACUUGCCCAAAUAAAUCCCUUUAUGCUACAUUUAACUGGCAGAAAAGCAGCCAUCCUGGCCAUGGACUCCAGGGACUUCUGUUGAAUUGGGGUUUCUCUGUUCUCUUUUGUAGAAUAAUGUGUAGGUUGGUGUAACUUCAGGAGAUGCUAGUUAUGAACAGAAAAUUGCAAAAAAGGAUGCAAAGCAAAAUGCUGUCUGAAGUGAAAGAGAUUGCACUACAUUUUUUUUUUACCCAUAAAAGUAAUAUAUG
rnacentral:lncRNA from 1 species